GUGGGGGAUAUUGCACAAUGGGGGAAACCCUGAUGCAGCGACGCCGCGUGAAGGAAGACGUACUUCGGUAUGUAAACUUCUAUCAGCAGGGAAGAAGAUGACGGUACCUGACUAAGAAGCCCCGGCUAACUACGUGCCAGCAGCCGCGGUAAUACGUAGGGGGCAAGCGUUAUCCGGAUUUACUGGGUGUAAAGGGAGCGUAGACGGUGAAGCAAGUCUGAUGUGAAAACCCGGGGCUCAACUCCGGGAUUGCAUUUGAAACUGUUUUACUUGAGUGAUGGAGGGGCAAGCGGAAUUCCUGGUGUAGCGGUGAAAUGCGUAGAUAUCAGGAAGAACACCGGUGGCGAAGGCGGCUUGCUGGACAGUAACUGACGUUGAGGCUCGAAAGCGUGGGGAGCAAACAGGAUUAGAUACCCGAGUAGUCC
rnacentral:rRNA from 1 species